GAUGAACGCUAGCGGCAGGCCUAACACAUGCAAGUCGAGGGGUAUAGUAGCAAUACUAGAGACCGGCGCACGGGUGCGUAACGCGUAUGCAAUCUACCUUUUACAGGGGAAUAGCCCAGAGAAAUUUGGAUUAAUGCCCCAUGGUAUUAUCGGAUGGCAUCAUUUGAUAAUUAAAGUUCCAACGGUAAAAGAUGAGCAUGCGUCCUAUUAGCUUGUUGGUAAGGUAACGGCUUACCAAGGCUACGAUAGGUAGGGGUCCUGAGAGGGAGAUCCCCCACACUGGUACUGAGACACGGACCAGACUCCUACGGGAGGCAGCAGUGAGGAAUAUUGGACAAUGGGCGCAAGCCUGAUCCAGCCAUGCCGCGUGCAGGAAGAAGCAUCUAUGGUGUGUAAACUGCUUUUGUACGGGAAGAAACACUCCUUCGUGAAGGAGCUUGACGGUACCGUAAGAAUAAGGAUCGGCUAACUCCGUGCCAGCAGCCGCGGUAAUACGGAGGAUCCAAGCGUUAUCCGGAAUCAUUGGGUUUAAAGGGUCCGUAGGCGGUUUGGUAAGUCAGUGGUGAAAGCCCAUCGCUUAACGAUGGAACGGCCAUUGAUACUGCCAGACUUGAAUUACUAGGAAGUAACUAGAAUAUGUAGUGUAGCGGUGAAAUGCUUAGAUAUUACAUGGAAUACCAAUUGCGAAGGCAGGUUACUACUAGUGGAUUGACGCUGAUGGACGAAAGCGUGGGGAGCGAACAGGAUUAGAUACCCUGGUAGUCCACGCCGUAAACGAUGGAUACUAGCUGUUCGGAGCAAUCUGAGUGGCUAAGCGAAAGUGAUAAGUAUCCCACCUGGGGAGUACGUUCGCAAGAAUGAAACUCAAAGGAAUUGACGGG
rnacentral:rRNA from 1 species